GGAAGGAUCAUUAACACGUAUCCACGUAUCCACCCACUGUGCACUUGUUUACCUAUCUCCCUGCCGACGACAUGAAUGGGUCUGUAUAGGGAAUGCGAGAGAAUGAAUGGGAGCCUCUCUUUGGAGAGACUCGAUCUCGCUUCCUGACGCGCUCUUCGGAGCGAACCAUUGUAGUCGCUUCGUGCAGGACCCAAUGUCUGCUCGGGCAGCACUCACCGUUCAUGAGUGCGCCGAGUGGGCGACCUACUAUAAACACUCAUCACACCCUUUUUGCUAGUUGACUUUUUUAUGUUGUCGUUCGCAUCUUUUUGAUGUGACUGCACACGUUUCUUAAUUGAACGAAAAUGUACAACUCUUAGCAAUGGAUAUCUUGGUUCUCGCAACGAUGAAGAACGCAGCGAAAUGCGAUACGUAAUGCGAAUUGCAGAAUUCAGUGAAUCAUCAAAUCUUUGAACGCAAAUUGCGCUCUUGGGUAUGCCUAGGAGCACGCCUCUCUCAGUAUCGGUUCAACCACCUCUCAGCAGCGCUUGCAGCGUGUUGGCUGGAGAAUGAGAGUCUACCUUAUCACUAGGGUAGUCUCUUGAAAUACAUGGAGUGAGCCACCCUCUCUAUUACCUUUCGACUCUCGGGUCGAGCUAGUCGUCGACUGGUCGCGUGGUAGGAGUGACGUGAAUACUGACCCUUUGUGGUCUCCCAUUUACGUGUAACUCUUUGCCUUACGUAACUAUUCCAAAAUCGUACGAUUGGUUUGGUAGUGUGAGAUGACUCAUGUGUCCGCGGCUUCGGCUGCAAUCGUACGAGUAGUCACCUACGAGUACUGAAGUUUGAUCUGAGAUGAAGCGAGACAACCCCCUGAAUUUAAGCAUAUUAAUAAGGGGAGGAAAAGAAACUAACAAGGAUUCCCCUAGUAACGGCGAGUGAAGCGGGAAGAGCUCAAUUUGAAAAUCGACUACCUAAGCGGGUCGUCGAGUUGUAGCCUAGAGACGUACUAUCAGCUGAAACCUGGGUAUAAGUUCUUUGGAAUGAGGCAUCAUAGAGGGUGAGAAUCCCGUAUAUGACCCAAAGCUUUCAGCGUACGAUGUAUGUUCAUCGAGUCGAGUUGUUUGGGAUUGCAGCUCUAAAUGGGUGGUAAGUUUCAUCUAAAGCUAAAUAAUGGCGAGAGACCGAUAGCGAACAAGUACCGUGAGGGAAAGAUGAAAAGAACUUUGAAAAGAGAGUUAAAAGUACUUGAAAUUGCUAAGAGGGAAGCGCUGGCAACCAGUCCUAUUCGUCGUUCAUCGCUAUCAGCCCCACUGGUCUACGUGUGUAGUUGGAAACUCUACUAACGUAGUCGAAAGGGUGGUUGGUGGUUUCGUACGGCGGAUGAGUCAAGAUUCAUUCGAACGGUGGAAGAAGGUGGUGAGAAAGGUAGGUGGCUCCGGUCACUGUUAUAGUCUCAUGACUCUACCUCGGUUUGGAUGGAGGAAGGAAUAGUGCGCCGCUUGCGGCUUAGUCCCUUGCACCUGCCGUUCUAGAUGCGCUGAGAGCAAUGCUCUCUGUGUGUCGAAGUGGCGGUACUGUGUAGGGUGACUUUCUGUGCUAUCACGAUCUUGUACGAAAUGGUUGCCAUCGACCCGUCUUGAAACACGGACCAAGGAGUCUAACAUCUAUGCGAGUAUUUGGGUGAGAAACCCUGAUGCGCAAUGAAAGUAAAGGCAGCUUGUCUGCUGAGGUAGGAAUCCGGUCACACGGAGGCACUAUCGACCGAUCAUCACUUGUGAAAGAUUUGAGUAAGAGCAUAUCUGUUGGGACCCGAAAGAUGGUGAUCUAUGCCUGAACAGGGUGAAGCCAGGGGAAACUCUGGUGGAGGCUCGUAGCGAUACUGACGUGCAAAUCGUUCGUCUGAUUUGGGUAUAGGGGCGAAAGACUAAUCGAACCAUCUAGUAGCUGGUUCCCUC
rnacentral:misc_RNA from 1 species